GGGGGCGUAUGGUUUCGACAGGAAAGUUAUUCUUCGAUCUGCGUGCCGAGGACCCGCUGGCCUCGUAAAAAGCGGGACUUAAAAAUUAAACGGCAAAGAUAAUUCUUUCGCUCUCGCUGCGUAGUCGGCGAGCCUCUUAACUCACUGCUUCUGACUCGGUGAGGGCAGGGGUCAACCCAAGUCAGAUCAUUCCGGCGGAACGCCCGUGACCGUUUGGAAGACAUCUUAUCGGGUCUGGCAGUUCUUUACCUGUGUCUGCAAGGUUGGGGCUGCCGGGAUCAAAUGCAGAAUACGCAUGUAGAAGAUCGCUGCAAUGCUUUUUUGGACAGGGGUUCGAUACCCCUCGCCUCCACCA
rnacentral:tmRNA from 1 species